rnacentral:tRNA from 1 species
AUUAAGGUAGCUUAAUGUUGAGCGUAGCUCUGAAGUUGCUAAGGUGGUUUGUUAUCCCUUGAUG